UUUUUUUUUUGAGCACUCCAUAGCCUCAGUAAUAGUAUCAGGCCUUGGGAUCUGUUAAGCACUGAGUGAGUGUUCAUCCCUGCACUGGUGCUCUGGUGAGCACUGAAUGACCUGUCCUAAGUACCUUAUCAACACUUAUGUCAGUAAACCGAAUGGUUCCCAGAGGUGAAAUGGGAUCUGCUAUAGUUGAAGUGCCGUGCACACAAACACAGUAGUUGUUUGGCUCAUGACUGGUGUGACCUCCGCACAGAUGGGUCCUUCCAAAUAGCCUUGGAAGGCUCUUGUCCUAGUCUGGAGGGCCUUCCUUGGUUCCUUCUGCUGCCUGGACACACAGCUUCUCUGUUUAGCUUCUACCCAACAUAUCCUGAUGCAUUUGUUCUGUACAAAGACUAUAGCUUCCUCUAAGAGAUCCAAUAGGGCAACAGCAAUUUACCUACCUGGCUACUGUUUUCUGGUUUUGCUAAUUCAUUGUUCCGGGUUACCUCUCUGAUUUCUCCUUGCAGUGUGGUGACACAUGGAUGCACAAAUGUUCCUAUUACCUCUCUGCUCCACGCAUUUCCUACGCGGAACACUUUGUGGAGAAAGAACAAGAACAAAAGCUUGUUUUCCUGUAAGGCCUCCUGUCAAGGUUGCCUGGCUCCUCUGUUCUUCAUCUCCUGGCAAGAUGGAGAUAGAGGAGACCAAAGAUGCACCGGCAGGGAAUCGAGGGCAGGAGGUGCGCCCUGAAACACACUCCCUCCUCAGAAACUAAGUUUCUCCACCUCAGGCAGAUAUGACAAGGCUUCCUCUCUUUGAUGUCAUAUAUGUGCAUGAGCACUUUGCUUCUGUUUGAGCCAUGAGACUUUCCUCAUCUGUGAAAUGGGAGUGUAACACCCAGGUUGGGUGGGAAAAUCAAAUGAGAUAAUGUACUUGAUGCAUAGUGAGUUUUAGAGUAACAGCUGAUUGUGUCUCCCAACCUCCCUGUCCUGUCCUCCACAGAGCCUACUGGGGUUUCAACAGCCCCUGCAUAGAGGAAAGGGAUGCCAUACUCAGUAUUCCUGCUGCCGGUCCUCUCUUCCUGGUUAAACAGGAACAGUAAGAUCAAAGAUUGGAUUCUGAGGUACCAUCUCACCAGGUCAUUUCAGCCUGUGUGGGUACUUCCUUCUCCUGGCUGUCAUCGGCCCAAUGCCUGAACACCAAGCUACCUCAGGCAUCAGUGCAACCCCCAACGUGGGUAUCUGAAACCCUGAUGUUGAGGGGUGUCUCUGCAGCAUCUGGCCUCCGGCCUCAGCAGAACUCCUGGCAGAGGUGGUGGUAUAGCGUCCCAGGCAGUGUCGCAGAGCUGGGGAGGGGAAGGGCAGAGCCUGAGCUGCAGUCCUCCUUCUCCCUCCCUGGCCCUCGGUGGUUGCUAAGCAGUUUCUAUGGCAGCAGCAUCCUCAGACUCAACUUUCACCCUCAUUUAGAGCCAAUUAAGGUAAAAUAGUGAGGGGCGGGAGCGGAGUGGCAACAUAACGGGAGGCAGGGAAGCACUUGGAGGCUGUGAGCAAAGCUUUACUCUGUCAGACGCAAAGGCACAGACAUCCAGACGCAGCUGCAGUCGUCUUGCCUCGCUGCAGCCUGCUGAGCUUGCUGAGCCUGCCGAGCAGCCGCACUGAAGACCUCAGGACCCUUGCCAGCACUGGAGAUCUGAGAUCGUCAGGUGUGCCUUUCCCACUCUCUGCUCCAGCCUGGCCUGCUGCCCCAGCCCCUGACAUCCCAUCACGCCGAUUCUCUGGCUGCUUGGCACCUGUGUUUAUUUACUUUCUUACUAUCCACACUUGAUUGGAAGGAAGAAAGGGAAAGUUUUUAAAAAAUGCCCAUCGCACAGUUGCUGGAACUAUGGAAGAAGAUCGAGGUGGAACCCAUGGAGACAGAGACCGCCGAAGAGGAACUCGCCUUGGAUGUUGAGCCCACCCCAGAAGAUACCACAGAAGAAGGCAAAGGAGACACAACCUCCUCAGCUGAGACGCAGCCAGCCUCCUCAUCGUCCGCAGAGCUCUUCCGGUGCGAGCUGAGCACCUCUCCAUGUCACAGAGCAUAGCAGAGCCAACUCUCCUGCCUCCCGGGACUGACCUGCCCCAUCUGCAUUGUCUUUACAGACCAGGAACAAGGAAAUACGUGGAGCUGGAGAGUGAACAGGAACUUGAAAACGCACAGCACAGCCAAGAAAGUCUCCUCCUGUGGAUGAAGAGUCCCCUUUCCAUCCAUCUAGCAACAUCAAGAAAAAUUACUUAAGGCUGAUUAAUUAAACUUAAUGCCAAUUUUUUACUUCCUGUGACAGACAGCCCAGAAUGAACCCAAGUUCAUUCUUCAACGCGGUUGUCGAUAUGAUCCAAAUCCAUCCGCUCAGAUAUAGACCUACCUAGCACCUGCUACAUCACACAUGAUGGCACACGUGAGUGGCCUUUUCUCAGAAGCUCAGCGUCAUCUCUGGUCAACACACCCAAAGCCAAACUGCUGAUUUGAGAGUUCCAGAACCUUCUACCUCAGUCUCAUCUCUAUCGAUGGCCAAUCCACCCCCCGGUUCCUUGGGCCAGAACAUUUUGAUCAUCCCGGAUGUCCCUUUCUCUCCAACAGCGCACUCUUUCAGCAGAUAGCCAUCCGCGCCAGAUAUAUUCGUUCAGAAUCCAGCAACAGGUCACCACCUUUAGCUGCCGUUUCCCAGGUUGCUUUCCUGCAGUUGCCGUCACACAGUUCUCUCUGCCCUAAGCGUCUGUCUCCCUUGCAUCCCUGCAAGCCAGAGUGAUGUUUCCCAUACACAUAGCAGACUUGUCUCUGUAUCCUUUUUGGUGGCUUCCUAACUCACUCAACAAAACAAGCAGGCCAAAGGAGGCCCAGUUUGAUCUGACAUCGGACUCCUGCUUAUGUCUCCCACCCUUUUGCCUUUACUUUCUCUCUUCCUGCCCCUGCUGGCUCUUAGCUCUCUCUUCCCGGCCCUGCUAGCUCUCUGCAGCUCCCGCAGCAUUGCAGGCACGCUCACACUUUGGGCUUCUGCUCUUGGUGUUUGUUCUAACAGGAAUUGUGCCCCAGGAGUCUGUUUGGUACACUACACCUUUGCUCAAAAUGUCCCUUUGCAACAAGGCCCCCACAGGUUGCACUGCUUAAGGUUGCAACAGCCCCCCCUGCCCCCGCCCCCCAGCAACUGUCAGUUCCUCUUCCCAACCUUCCUUUCCUGCUGCAUGGCAUACAGCUGUUUCUGAUACGCUAGGUGAUUUAAGCUUACCGUUUCCUUGUGCUACAAGACGAGCGCUAUCCGACGAGGAUUCUCUUUCUCAUCGCCUGUACCCAGAAGAGUGCUCAGUAGACAGAGGCCCACUACACAGGUCUUAAACAGUUGGGUCGCAUGACCAGUGUCAUCAUUCAGGAGCAGAGACCCAGAGAGCUUGUGGAGGAAUGGAAGCCUUCUUGGGUCCUUCAUACCACAACAGAUGCGAAUACAAGUUCACGGCCCUCUGUUAUCCCAUGACUUUGACAAACUCAGGGAAGGUAACUGUUGAGGGGUCCUGGUCUCAGCCUUCCCAUACUCGCUCUGCUGGUCUCUUGGAAGUUGAAUCUGUGUUUCUCUCCCUUUAGUGUAGAUGGAGCUGGCGGGCUUGCUUCUAGGCUUGAUGGUGGCAGAUGAUAAACCAGACUGCUUGCAUCUUGGGCUUGAAAGCCAUUUUAGAGUAAAGACAAACCAGGUUCAUUGCUGUUUAAAAUUAAAUGUCUGUUUCUCUUA